CUAUCUAAUAUUUGAGACCAUUCAGGUAAAUGAUAUCAAUUUACACUAGUACAAAAACUGUCUUUAAUAAAAAAAAAAAAAAAAAAAAAAAAAAAAAAAAACACCUCUAUAUCUAAAUAAUCGAGGUCCCGAAUUUAAAGAAAUUUAAUUCCCGACAUCCCGAAAUUAGAAAAAAUAAAUCUUGGAUCCCGAAAGGGUCAAUCCCGAAAUCAGGCCCGAGCUUAAAAACACCCGAUCCCGACGUCCCGAAAAAGUCCUGCCCCUCCCUCUGCCAUGUAGUUAUCAAAAUUUUCGUGUUUAUGCUGCAUACAUCAGAUUUUUUUUUUUCUUUCUCGAUACUCAAUCAAACAACUCAGACUAAAUGAUCUUAUUAAACAUAUUGCGGAUAGCCAUUUAAUAAAAAAAAGUAUAGAAACUAACUAACUAAUUUUAUUCAGACUGAGUAUAAAACCCAGCACAAAAGGAUCAUCGCUGAAAAACAUGAGCACAUAUCAUACAAAAAAUUAUCAGUUUCCCUUUAUGAGGGGGGAUAGGAGGGGUCUUGAUCCCGAAAUCCCGGACUUGAAAAAAAAAUCCCGAGGUCCCGAAUUUAAAUAAAGCAAAUCCCGACAUCCCGAAAUCCGAAAAAAAGGAUUCCCGGAUCCCGAAAGGGUCAAUCCCGAAAUCCCGAGUUUAAAAACACCCGAUCCCGGAGUCCCGAUAAAGGUCCUAUUCCCCC
rnacentral:lncRNA from 1 species